GAGAAGGAGAGAUCAAGAAGACUUGGAACUUCUAUACUAAAUCAAGUAGUGCUGGAAGCAGUGGCUUUUAAGCCUCCGCCUAGGACACGAGCUGGUAAAAGAGGGCGUGUUUACUAUUAUACACAGGAAAAGGGAAACAAUGACAAAUCUGGAGUGAGUACUAUCUGGCAGCAUCAAAUUUGCACCAAUAGGACUAACAAAUAUGCUCAAUAAUGGAGGUGUAAUUCAAGAAGUGGAAUAUGUUGAGGGUGUUGCUAUGCUCAAGGUUAAGGGUGAUGGCCAAUUUUUGGCUUACUCAAGUGAACCUCCAAAGAAGUUCCAAGUGAAUGGUUCUGAUGUGGAUUGAGUGGCUUCCUAAUGGCAAAUUGAUGGCUAACUUUUCUUGGAUUCAAGAGGAUCAUGGUGUUUGUGAUUUAGCAAUUUUCUUCUAGUUUUUAUUUUAUAGGAUUGUGGAGUGGAGUUUCUUAUUUUAAAGUCCUAAUUUUUCAUUUUUAGUUUAGGUCCAGUUUGGGUAAACAACUUAAAUAAGUUCUUUUG